GUCUUUAAGAUUUUUAAUUUAAAGUCUAAUCUGCCCAAUGAAAUUUUUAAAUGGCUGCAGAAUUUUUACUGUACUAAGGUAGCAUAAUAAUUUGUUUUUUAAUUAAAAACUAGAAUGAAAGAUUAAAUGAAAUAUAAACUUUUUCAAUUAAAUUAUAAUUUAACUUUUUAUUUAAGUAAAAAAACUUAAAUAAAACUUAAAGACGAUAAGACCCUAUAGAAUUUCAUUUAUUAAUUUUAAAUAUUUUAAAUUAAUAAAUUUUAUUGGGGUAAUAAAAAAAUUUAAAUAAUUUUUUUUUAAAAAUACAUUUUUACUGUUUAAAUUUAUCUUAAUUUUUAAAUUAAAAAAAUUAAUUACCUUAGGGAUAACAGCAUAAUUUUUUUUAAAAGAUCAUAUUAAUAAAAAAGAUUAU
rnacentral:rRNA from 1 species